CUAAGUGUUUGCACAAUGCCAAGCACAAUGGGGUCUUGACUCUGGAAAAGAUGUUCAGACACUGCUACCAUUAACUGUAAUUAUGACUGAUUGCCCAAAUCACUGCUGACGUCAUGGGGCAGACUCUUCUUGGUGUGCAGAGGCCGCGGGGGCUCCGCCUGAGCACACAGCCAGGGUGCCGCACCCUGAGCUGCCAGCCUGGACUCCUCAGGGCAGGGCCUGGCCAGUGGCCGGGGCAGAGGGCAGCAGGAGGCUGCAAGGCAGCAGGCAAGGAGACCGCAGGCUCAAGGGAGGAAGCCAAGGCUCAUGCCUUAGCCACUCUGCCUGGGGCCCUUCUGGACCUGGGCAACGAUGGAGUUCGGGAGCAGGACUUGGGCUCCGUAAUCUUCAGUAUAGCAGACAGGUUUGUUCAGGAGGGAACUGCACUCAUGCUAACCCAGAAAGAAUGAGCAUCUACUGAUGCCAGACCAGAUGAGGAAGACCUCUUCCUGCCUCAGUAUACAGACCAGUUUGUUCUCAUGGGAGGUGAAUCAUUGCUGCCCACUCUGCAUCCUUUGGGAACUGCAUGUGUCACUGGACACACAUGACUAGCCUCGCUACCUUUGUGUGCACAUUGUCCCAGGGCUGAUGAAGGUAAGUGGGACAAGGAGCAGCGGGGCAUGGGGCGCUGCUUGUUUGUAUCACCCUUUCUGAAAGCUUGGGCAAAGCUUGGAUGUUCUGUGCAGGAGCUGAGCCUUUCCCAACCUGGAAAUUUUGUCUUAGAAGAACAAGAAUUUUCAUUUUUUCUGUAGGAGUGUCAGAGAAUCCAAACAACUUCCAUAGCCCUCUUCUUGGCUGGAAGACUCAGACGAAUAUCUCCAGAUCAAGGCAUAAGGAGCCCGAUGCUUUUCAGAGGCAUUAGAUCCGCAGUGCCUGAGCUCACAGUGGAUCACCUGAUUCUCAGGAGACAUGUUGAACACGCUUGUCUGCUGUCUGUGUGGUACAUGUGUGGCUGAUGGAGUGAAUCCCAGCUGUGUCAGACUUGUGUGUGUGUGUGUGUUAUAUAGUACCCAAACCCUUAUUUCUCUAUUUAAUUUUUCAGGAAGAGCUGUGGGAACCCUACAAUUAAAAACUUACUCUAAGUAAACAAUUGUUUAAGCUUGAGGAAGGUCUACAAGAAGUCAGAGCAUGUUGGAACAACAUCAUUUUGAUAUAUUUUCUUCCUGUUGGAAACGUGCCACAAGAAGAUACGUGCAGAGACUGACAGUCAUCCUUCAUGAGAAACCAAACUUGUUUUGGCAUUUGAAAAUAGCACUGCCUAUUGACACAGCAGCCAUGCUUAUCUUCCCUGUAGGAAGACUAUUUGUCAUUUUGUACAUCGAAAAGCAAAAGGCUCUGAUUCUACUGUCAGUGCUGACAUGAUAAAUCAGGAGUAACUGAAGAGCUGAGGGUGACUUUAGUGUAUUGCUCAGACAAAUGUACUUGAGAAAUCAACCUCAUAGACAUGGGUUUCUCUAGGCUAGGAUCAGCCCAUCUAGUUUAAGGAUGUAUAUGGUACAACCUCUGUGGUCAGUUAUCCAGCACUGUGGCAAGCCUGUGUUAUUUGAGUAGUAUCUUUUCUCCUGCUGGUCCAAGUAAAGCAGUGUUGGUAGCAUUGUUAUUUGCUGUAUUAUUCUGAGGCAGGAGAAAGGCAGUCCUGUUAAGUCCUGUUGACUGUUUUCCUGGAGAUAUGCCAAAGAGAGCUGCAGAAAGUGCAUGGGAUUGGUUGGAGGGUGCAGAGCCCUGGGUGAUGCUGGCUCACUUUAUGGGUUGACAUGCAAACUCACAAAUGGAGAACUGACACAAAUCCUCCUCUGCAUUGAGCCUGGAGUAACUAAUCCUGUUUGCAAGCUGGGGUGCAUUGUAACUUCUAAAAAGAGGCAAUUUAAAGCCUAGGGCUUUUAAAGCAUUGCAUUGUCUCCUGUCUUUUUUAUGGCAUUCUUUAAAAAACAAACAAACACAAUGAGCAAGAGAGAUGAGACUAGGAUAGGCUUUCAGUGCACAACACAGCCAACAGAAGACUGCUCCAGGAACUGUAACGUUUCAAUUUCCUAUUUUCUCUAUCUUUAAAUUAACUUCAGUUUUCUUAAGUAUAUUCAAUUAAAAAAAAAAAAAAAUACUGUUUGCAUAUAUCUUCCAGGCAAAGAUCCAGCACUCGAGCUGUGUUGGAAACAAGUACCAUUGUUAGGCUGGCUGGCCCUUCACAUCCAUGCCCUCAAGAUGCUCAUAAAAAUCUGAGACACACUUUCAUUAUGAUCAAGUGUUAGGAUACAUGCAAAGCACAUUUGCAUUACAGGGAGCAAUGAAUGGCAGAUAUGCAAUAACAUUUGAAGAUAGACUACGCUGUAGCAAGAAACAGAGAUUGCUUAAGGAAUAGGCUGAUAGUCCUGUACUUGGCACACAUGAUUCUUUAUGCCUUAGCAAAAGUGAUUUUAAAACUUUCCUUUUUAACUGUUAUGGGAUUUGACAUCUGUGCUUGUGCAGUCCUCCAGUAAUUAAAUUGGGGACACAAUAGUAAUGGCAUGAAAAGAAAGACAAUGAGUUUUGAUUAAAAGAACCUGCUCUAGUACAAUGUUUUUGGUGGGAAUGGCACAGGCCAACAUGUGUCAACAUGUGUCAACAUCCAACAACUGUUUUUUCUUUGUCUUCCUCUUUUUUCUUCCAGAAGAAGUGGGUUUAGCAUGCCAGAUUACAUCAUUUUCACAUACAGCGCACACAUGUCUCUUCCAAAAAUUAUAAACACAGAUGCAAAAUCAUGAUUUGUUUGGCUCUGGCCCCUGAUAGUGACACCCAUUCGACCACUAGCCACAGAAGAGCAGCAUUGUAAAAGUGAAGUAUUGAGUGUGCCAAGAGGAGUUGUUUCCACUGGGAAACAGAACUGAAGUAAUUCCAGGGUUCUCAAUUCUUCAUGUACCUUGUCUACUAGAGACUGCAGAAAGUCAUCAUAGCUGGUCUCCUUCUGGAUAAAUACCGCUCUCCAGAUGGCCCAGUCAGCAAGCACAAGCACUGGUCCUUGUGGCCAUCAGAGGCUACUGUGUGCCACAAUAAAAAAUGUGGACAAUUACA
rnacentral:lncRNA from 1 species